UACAGCAUGGUAUCGUCUACUCAGGA
rnacentral:piRNA from 2 species